ACGAACGCUGGCGGNGUGCCUAAUACAUGCAAGUCGAACGCACUCUCGUUAGAUUGAANAAGCUUGCUUCUGAUUGAUAACAUUUGAGUGAGUGGCGGACGGGUGAGUAACACGUGGGUAACCUGCCCUAAAGUGGGGGAUAACAUUUGGAAACAGAUGCUAAUACCGCAUAAAACCUAGCACCGCAUGGUGCAAGGUUGAAAGAUGGUUUCGGCUAUCACUUUAGGAUGGACCCGCGGUGCAUUAGUUAGUUGGUGAGGUAAAGGCUCACCAAGACCGUGAUGCAUAGCCGACCUGAGAGGGUAAUCGGCCACACUGGGACUGAGACACGGCCCAGACUCCUACGGGAGGCAGCAGUAGGGAAUCUUCCACAAUGGCACGAAAGUGCUGAUGGAGCAACGCCGCGUGAGUGAAGAAGGUUUUCGGAUCGUAAAACUCUGUUGUUGGAGAAGAACGUAUUUGAUAGUAACUGAUCAGGUAGUGACGGAUCCAACCAGAAAGCCACGGCUAA
rnacentral:rRNA from 2 species